rnacentral:lncRNA from 1 species
CUCGCACACCCUUAAGUCCAGUGCUCGGGAGAGGGUGAGGCUGUCGCUAUGGCCACGGGUACGGUACGGGUGUGCUGUGGAAACAAGAAAAACAAUGUAAUCCGAUCCAGGUUCGGAAUGUGCGUAAUAUUGUGUGUAAUCCAUGCAGAGGGAGAUGGAUAGGGAGAACGGAAGGAGAGGCACAAUGUACCCCCCGAUAUCCGUUUAGGGGUUGUGCAGCGAACAGGCUCCGCCCACGGAACGAAAC